GCUCAUCUUUUAUUCUUUAUUCAGGUUGGAGAGCUGCAGGUUGUCAAAGAUCAGCUGUGAUUUUCUGGGCUCAGCUCUGAAGUCCAACAGCCUCCAUCUGACAGAACUGGACCUGGGAGAGAACAACCUGGAGGAUUCAGAUGUUCAGCAGCUGAAGGAUCUUGUAGAGACUUUAAAGAUCUGAUCUCUGUAGAGAAUGGUCUCUGUGUCCUGCUGAUCCUCAGAGGUUGAAGCUGCAGCAGUUUGAGUCAAAAGAAUCUCUGACUGGAUCAUGACGAUGACCUCUGGCCUCCAAGAUUUUCCUCCUGUUUAUUUUCUCAUGUCUGUCAUUUAGUGUCUGAUAUUGUUUGUCUCUUUGGAUUAAUAAAGAUCAAAUUCAAACUGGGCUCCAUUUAGAGGCUUCAUGGAGUUUUGAUCUGAACUGGAUUCAACUGGAAAGUUGAUCUUUUUUCUCUGAUUCAUUUUCAUCCUGGAACCAGAAAUGGUCUGAGAUGGAAACAUGGGAAUCAUUUCAGUUAAACUUUGAAUCAUAAAGACACUUCAAACCUCUUUUCUCUGCUGCUUCUUCUGCUGA